CCUAAGGUGAGGUUGGAAUUGGAGUUAAAGUAGGGCUGAGGAUAGGAUGGGAUUGAUUGGAGUUGAAGUUGGCAUGGGAGUCACUUUAUUUAGUGUUAUCAUUGGGCUUGAUGAGGCCUGGCCUGGAUUCAGAUGGUUGUGAUGUAAGCAAAGAAGAUGAGAAUCAGAUGGGGUUUGGGUUAGUAUGUGGUUUGCUGUUGGUGUUGGGAUUAGGGCUGGGCCAGGUGCUUUGCUGAACUCUUGGAAGCUCACUGGUGGGAGCUAUCCCUCUGAGGGAUGUGCCAUGCCUGAAUUUUCACAUCACUGGGACCAGACCCAUGGUCCUGCCAUGCAGUUUUGGGUUGAGUAAGAUAAGGACCCAUUGUUUCCCCUCUGGGAGUGUUUGGGGAUUGGAGGCCCCACCUGGGAUUUCCAUGGCAGUAAUUCCCAGCCUUACUGGGAAGCCUGGUAAGACCCAGGGUGGGGGUUUAUCUCUUCUGGCUCCAGUAGAGGCAGUGGGCCCCAGUAUUUGCUGUACUAUGCUUCCAGGCAGUUGGGACAGGACGGUGGAACAGUCUUAGGACCUGAGGCACAGAGUCAGCCAGCUGGGGCCUGGGGGCAUCUCUGGCCAGAAACACACACCACCUGUGUCCAGGUGACUAGUUUUCUCCCAUUUCAGUCAUUUUGAAGAAAUACUGAUUCCAUUUCAGCAAGAAACCAAUUCUAUUCUUUUGCCCCUACGAGGAGGCAAGCAGGGGCAUUCAUUUCAGUGCCUCUCUGAGCUAGUCAUCUGAAAGGGUACAGGGAAAACCCAGGUAGAGGACUCACGUGUCCCCAAGCCCACUGCCCAGGCACAAGCAGACGUGGCUGAAAGGUGCCUGUUUCAUGAUUGCUCCUGCCAGGGCCACCCUAUCCCACAUUCUCAUCAUGCUGACACUACCCUAAGCCCCACCCCCAAUGUGCCUCUAUAGCUUUGCCUAUGCUGCUGUCAGCCCUUCCUCCUCCUCUCCAUGUGUCUAGAGUCUCCUUAUCAUCCAGGAUCCAACCCUUGUGAUGUCGUAUUACACUGACUUAUGGACGAAAUGCAGGGACAGUGUCUUAUCCACGACAUCUCCGCAGAAUCUUGUCUAGAGACUGGAAGAGAGUGGGCACACAAUCAAUGAACAAAGAGCUGGAAAGAACAGGCCCCCCCAGGCUGAUGCAUUAUACCAAUUUUAUUAAGCCUUAGUCCUUUUUAUGGAGGAGGACUCCAAAAUCAAAAAUCUCUGUAUAUUUUCUGAUUGCUCUCUUUUCUUUAACUUAGAUUGAAUUCAUUAAACCUAAGAGAUGACCAUGUCUAGGUGCUAUCGGCCAUGUAGCGCUCUCAAGGUAGGGAGUAAGUACAGAGCUGGAAGCAUAAAAUACCUCCUCAAUGUCAUGGACAAACAGAACACAGAAGUAGAGGUGGAAUUUUUCCUAUGUCCCCUAGCAGUGCACUUGGUUUUCAGACAAAUUUGACCCCUUUAAAGUUUUAAAUUUUUUUUUUUUUGUCUUUUUAGGGCUGCACCCGCAGCCUAGGAGUUUCCCAGGCUGGGGGUUGAAUUGGAGCUGUAGCUGCCAGCCUACGCCACAGCCACAGCAAUGCCAGAUCGGAACUGCAUCUACGAACUAUGCCACAGCUCAUGGCAAUGCAGGAUCCUUAACCCAAUGAGCAAGGCCAGGGAUUGAACCUGCAUCCUCAUGGAUACUAGUCAGGUUUGUUAACCACUGAGCCAUGACGGGAACUCCCUAAUUUUUAAAAUAACUGUUAUUAUCCCCAUUUUAUAGAUGUGGAAAAAAGGUCCAGGGAAGACAAGUGAUCUUUCAAAGUUCUCACGAUUCGUAUGUGGUAGAACAAGUAUUCCAAACUAGACGGUGUAAUUCUCUAUUGCUUCCUAACGUACCUCUCCAACUCGUGCCUUCUUUUCCCUUUCCGUUGAUACCACCAUCAUUUACACUUUGAUCUUCUGCACGUCUUUUUCUAGCAGGCUCUGAUUUACUCUCCUUAGUUGAAUUCUAUCCCUCUUCACUCUUCCUAAACCUGUAGGAACAAUCACUCUUUUCAAUGAUGCCUCAUUCCAAAAAAAAAAAAAAAAUCUGCAUUUUUAAGUAACGUUAACCAUUCCUUGAGAAUCUGCCCCCAUCUCUGAUUUGCUGUUUCCCCACGUUUCCCUUCCACGGCAGUGCUCCCGCUAUCCAGAACCAUGUGUGGCUUCCUGAACAGACCAGGGCCCACCUGCCCCUGGGCUUCUGCAGGACUCUUCCUCCCAGUGGGUUGGCCCCCUCCCAGGUGUUUGCUUGGCUAGCUUAUCCUCAAGACUCCUCAGCUGUCACCUCCCCAUGACAGUCCCAAUCUGGUUGUGGGGCUAUCUUCUGGGCUCCCAUUAACUCCCCCACGCCUCCCUCUCUAUGGCAGCAUGAGCCACGGUGCUUUGUUACUAUGUACUUGCCUAUUUUGCUUCUGGCCUCUGGGCUCUAGCUGGACAAAAUGCCUUUCAUUCCCUUGGCUUCUUCAUCUGGAAGCUUUUGUUAAGGUUUAUUGACUGAAAAGCCAGUGAUUCCAUCUUGAUGCUGUGUGCAGAUGUAGUAAGCAGGCCAUCCGUAUCUUUAUCCACAUCAUUCAUAGAAUGUCUGAACUGAGUAAGACAAGAGUGAACCCUGAAGCAUGUUUGUAUUUUCUGACACUUUCUUCUCAGAUUUCUUCUUGCCCAGUCUAAGUAAUUUCACCAAGAGCUUGAAGAAAUAUAGAUAAACCACAUUUGCUUCCUUCCCCUAAUCUAGCAGGGAAGAGGGGCUAGGAAAAAAGCUAAAGUUAGGAGGCCCCAUCGUGGCUCAGCAGUAACGAAUCUGACUAGUAUCCAUGAGGACACGGGUUCAGUCCCUGGUCUCGCUCAGUGGAUUAAGGAUCCGGCGUUGCUGUGAGCUGUGGGCGUGGGUCAUAGAUGCAGCUUCGGCAUUGCUAUGGCUGUGGUGUAGGCUGGCAACUGCAGCUCUGAUUUGACCCCUAGCCUGGGAACUUCCAUAUGCCAUGGGUGUGCCCCCCCCCAAAAAAAAACCACACAAAAAACCCUGAAAUUAACUUGGCAAGACAGAGGAGCCUUAGUGAACAUACUCUACUCCCAGAGGUCCUGACUUUCCUUUCCAAGAACCCCAAAUGCUCUUUAAAGGACAUCUCAUGUCCAGCCAGCCUCCCAUGGUUUUCCCAUUACACCAGGCUCUGGCCCUUGUUUCCUGAGGUGUGUCUGAGGAUUUCCAGAUUCAAAGGGAUUCCUUUGGUUUGAAUGUUAUACAUAGGAUCUCUCAGUCUCUUCCAGGAAUGGGCCUGCUGUACACAGAGAGCUCAUGAACCAUCCCCUGCCCCUGUAGCUAAGCUCUGGGUAUCUUCUGAUACCAUCUGAUGGAGAGAAAAAAAGCAUUUUGGAAAAAGCUAAUGAUAGUUUCUAUGUAAAGGGAAGGCAGUGUGAUGGCAAGCAGGGGCAAGGGCAGUGAGAAGUUGAGGAAGGAACAAACCUUGAACUUGUAGUCAUAAGACCUGGGUGUUGGUCUUGACUCUUCCAGCACUGUGCUGUGUGGCCUUGAGAGAGCCCCUGUCCUGCUGUGUUCUCAGUUUCACGCCUGGGGAGGAGGGGAUUAGAAGAAUCCAAAGAUUAAGCAUUCCCUCCCCGCCCCAGAAAGAAAAUUUUCACCAGUGUUUUUUAAUCAUUUUAGGAGUCACAGACUUUUCUGGGAGGAACCUGAUGAUGCUGUGAAAACUUGCCCCCAAAAUGUUCAUGCUCACAGACAGGCACACAUACAUGCUCAAAAUCUAUUCCAGAAUUUUCCUGAGAUUGAUUGACUACAGUUAUUGGUAUGGGCCUCAUCUGUCUUAAAAAGUCCUCCCUAUGUCUGCUCAGCUACUGAAAUCCAGCAUCUCUCCCAACCUUCAUGAUGCACUGAAGUUACUGGACUGUUUCAUCCACAAAUUCUCGUGAAUCCCUGGAAUGUAAAACAUGAGCUUAGAGAUGUUUAGAGAAGCCCCAGUUCUCUUCACAUAACUCCAGCUUCUAAAUUGAUUCACAAAUAUGUGUUUUUUGUACUUUGAAAACCUUCCCUAGACUAUGAAGGUAAAACUGGAUUUGCCAUAUUCACUUUCCUUCCAUGGCCAUUGACAUCACUCCUGUCCCCCAAGUGUAUUCUCAGGCGUCGAGAGAGGAACCUUCCUCUUCCUUCUUCUUCAUGUAAUUAAAGAGCCCUUUGUGUUCUCUUAGGAGUGGGGAGAGGGUUUAUUUCAACCUUUUUCCUGUGCUCUUGACUACCUGAAACUCGUCUUAUAUGUCAUUGUCACUUUCCUUCUGGAAACUAAGUCUACUGGAUAGCAUGCUAGUUGGCCGUGCACGCACACACACAUUUAUUUAUUCAUUUAUUUAUUUAUGUCUUUUUAGAGCCAAACCUGCAACAUAUAGAAGUUCCCAAGCUAAGGGUCGAAUUGGAACCAUAGCUGCUGGCCUAUACCACAGCCACGGCCACGCCAGAUCCAAGCCGAGUCUGCGACCUACACCACAGCUCAUGGCACACCGGGUCCUUGACCCACUGAGCAAGGUCAGGGAUCGAACCUGCCUCCUCUUUGAUACUAAUCAGAUUCAUUUCUGCUGAACUACAAGGGGAACUGCAGCCGUGCACUUUUAGAUCUCAGAAGAAAAUGUGGUCCUUCUUGCUGGAGGCUGAUUCAGAGGGGAUUACCAGGAAGUGAAGGAUGUUUGAGUUCAGAGCCCCCAGCUUAUAUGCCUCCUUCCAAGGACCUGGGGUGGGCACCCUAGUGGUGCAUCCAUGAGGUGACAUGUUUGGUACAGUUAACAGAAGUCAGAUCUUUUAAUCAUGAUUGCUAAGAUGUCCAUCUCUCUGGGCU
rnacentral:lncRNA from 1 species